rnacentral:lncRNA from 1 species
ACUAAACAAAACAUCAAAUCUCUCAAUUAUUUUGUGUUGUCCAGAGUCCACACAAGUGAAUCAAAACUAUACUAUACACACAGGUGGAAAUGAGAGGGACCAUUGCUGCGAAUUGUUUCCGAACCACUCCUUUUUUUUUUUUUUUUUUUUUUUGCGUUUUUGGUUAAAGUAAACAAAUUUUGAGGCCCCAGAGAAAUUAUAGAACCACCUUUUUAUAUUAUAUUUUGGAAUUAUAGACCCAAG